AGGGGUGGGGAUACAAAUUCCAGAAGAAAACAGACUUAAAAAACAUAACUGUAACUUAAGAACCAACUUUUGGGUCCAGUGGUAUCCCCAGAGCCACCCUUUUCCACCAGUCCUAGGACAGAAGUGAAUUUCCUGCUGGGAGGACACAGUGCACAAGACAACAGUUGUGUGCAGUAGUUACACAGCACAGCUCAAUGAAACUUAAGAGGGUAUUUUUUCCUUAGGUAUAAUGGAGAUUGUCAGUUCUUCAGCCAACUUUCUCUCCAGCUUUCUCAUCUUCCUCUUGCUUGAGACACAUACACUGGCUUCAGAGCGAUUUUCAGUGAUUGGACCUACAGAACCCAUCCAGGCUUGGGUAGGAAGAAAGGCAGACCUACCAUGUUACCUGUCUCCCCAAAAAAAUGCUCAAGCCAUGAAGGUGAUUUGGUUCCAAUCUCUGGAUAUAGUGCAUUACUAUGAGGAUGGGCAGGAUAAGUUUGACAAUCAAAGCCCUAAAUUCCAAGGGAGGACAGAGCUGGUGAAAGAUGCCAUCACUAGAGGAAAUGUCACCCUGAGGAUAUGGAACAUUACAGCCUCAGACCAAGGACACUACAAAUGCCAUUUUGAUGAUGGUUUGUAUCAAGAAGAAGCUGGUAUAGAACUACUUGUCUCAGAACAUUGUCUCCAGGACCUUCCCUGGGUGCUGUAUAUGAAUGGGAUCAUAAUUGUGACUUCUGCAUUUGAAAUUAUCAUUGCCAUUUGUCAUCUGUGGAUGAUGCAGACCUGUGAAGGAUAUAUUCACGGAGAGAAUUGGAAAUGUAUGAACUUAUUCAUUUGGAUGAUCUUCCUGUCCUUCGCUUCUGUUAGACUUGUGAUUCAAUUCUACUUGCCAUCUACCUAAUUCUGAAAUAUGCGGAUCAUUUCUUCCUGCUCCUGGGCCACUGAAAAGAUGGGUGAAGCAUAUCAUGCAGUAUCAUGCAUGUGCUGAUUUUACUACUGAAGUGUGACUCUCCCGACCAAAAAAAGUACUUCUCCUCCUGGUGGAUAAUAAAAUUUCUUCAGUGACAAAAGAAAUUCUUUUUCAGCCUUACUUAUUUCCUGUGAAUGGUGAGCCUGAGGAAGUUUGCCCUCCAGUGUGUGUCUACUUACCUCAAGUCUUGUCCCACUCAAAUUCACCAUUCACUUACCUAUCAAAACGAUCUUCCUAAAAUUUAGUGGUCAGUGACUUAGCCCUUACCCAGGUUUAUCAUUCACUCACCUGUAUGUUAAAUAUUUGAAACAAUGCAUCAAAUGUUUAUUAAGUACCUACUAUAUAGAGCAUCAUCCUAUAUUUAGUCUAACCCAUAACCAAAAAGAAACUCAUUCUACAAUAUCACUGAAAAGUGGCCAUCAACUGGAAUACUGUGCUGAAAAGAAUAAUGAACUGGAGUAAAUCCAUGUGAACUGGAACGACCUCCAGGAAGUGAUGCAGAGUGAAAGGACCAGAACCAGGAGAACAUUGUACACAGAGACUGAUACACUGUGGUACAAUCAAAUGUAAUGGACUUCUCUACUAGCAGCAAUGCAAUGAUCCAGGACAAUUCUGAGUAACUUAUGAUAAAGAACAUCAUCCAUAUCUAGAGGAAGAACUGUGUAAACAGAAAUUCAUUAGAAAAAUAUGUGAUUACAUUGUGAUAGGGAUAUGAUUGGAGUUUUGAUGUUAAAGGAUCUCUCUACUGCAGAUAUGAAUAACACAGAAAUGGGUUUUGAAUAAUGAUACAUGUAUAACCCAGUGGAACUGCUUGUUGGAUUCAGGAGGGGGGAAAGAAGAUGGGUGAGGGGGAUGAUGAAUUAUGUAACUAUGGGAAAAUAUUCUAAAUUUAAAAAGGAAAAAAAGUGGCCAUCAACCCUCCACUUAAAGAGACCUGGUAAGGGAGAACUUUAUUUUUUACUUCCUGAGGCAAUCCACCCCACUUUUAGAGAGUUUUCAAGGUGAGGAAGAUUGUUUGUUGACAGCAGUUCCAAGCCUGAAAUGUAUGAAGCCAGACAAUGUUGCAUAUGAGUGGCAAGCCUUUAACAAAAAGGAUUUGAAGGAAGAAAACAUAGGAUUUAUUAUUUGUGUAUAUAGGUAUAGAAUUGGGGGUUUUGGUUUUAAAAGAUGACUCAAUUGCAAAAAUGAAUAAUGAGGAAAUGGGAUUUGAGUGAUAAUAUAUGUAUAACCCAGUGAAAUGGAUUGUCACCACCUGGAGGGGAGAGGGAAAGGGGGAGGGAGACAAGAAGAAUCAGGGAACCAUGGAAAAAAUUUAAAAAUUUAUAUAUAUGUGUGUGUGUUCAUUAUUGAGUUAAAAAAGGGGGGGGGAGGGAGCAGUUUGCGGAGGAAGCAAUAGCCUUGAUUUGACUCCAUCUGGGCUUUUAUUCAGGCCUCCCCCUACUCAUUCAUUUAGUUGGCAGACCCUAAGGUUUGAGGAGCUUAAGGAAAGCUGCAGUGCCUCAGACCUACAUAACCCCUUCACCAAUAUGUCAGAAUUUGGCUAGCUGAAAUAGUUUGAGGAAGACAUUGACAAGAUGUCUAGGGUGUAGAAGAAAUCUGAGAUGAGUAACUCUGAAUUCCUGAUAUAAGAAGAUAGGUUGAAAGAAGGAUGCAUAUUUAGCCUGGAGAAAAGAAGACUCAAGAGGGGCAGGAUAACUGAGUUUAACUGUAUUAAGGGCUGUCUUGUGGAGAAGGAAUUAGAUUUCUUUUUGACCUUAGUAGGGCAGAGCUAGUAGUAAUGAGUGGAAAAUGCAAAGAAGCCAAUUCAGACUUGACAUAAGGAAAAACAUCCUUACUGAACAUCCUUAAUGAAAGUGAAGUGGGCUACCUCAACAGGAGGCAGGGUUCCCUUCUUCAGAGGUAUUCAAGCAGAGAUUAUACAACCACUCAUCAGGUAUGUUAUAGUGAGAUUCUUUUACAUAUGGGUUGAAUCUAGAUUAGAAAUUUUUAGUUGUUUUGAUGCCAUGGAACCUUUUGGCAGUAGAGUGAAACCAAUGGAUUUCUUUCCACGAUAAUGAGAUUGAAUGCAUAAAAUACAUAGGAAUACAAAUAUAGCCAAUUAUUUUUUUCCUGUAAUUCAGUCAUUUUCAGUCAUAUCCAAGCCUUUGUGACCUCAUUUGAGUUUCUCUUGCAAAGAUACUGACAUAGAUUGCCAUUUCCUUCUCCAGUUCAUUUUACAGAUGAGAAAACAGAGACAAACAAGGUUAAGUGACUUGCCAAGGAUCAGACAAUUAAUAAGUGUCUGAGGCCAGAUUUGAAAUCAGAUCUUCCUAACCCCCACACCUGGUACUCUAACCACCAACUAACUCCCCUUGGCCUAGAUAGAUGCUCAAGUCCCUUCCAACUCUCAAAUUCUGAGAUUCUGUGGAUGCAGGUUGACAAUCAAGAAUUGACCACAAUUAAGGGAAUUUUCUAACCCUAAAUCAGAUAAAAGUUUAAAGUGAAUAAUCAGAUCCUCCAAAGGAAAGUGAAUUUAAAUGAGAACUAAAAGUCUAUGGGCUAUAAGCUGACUGCCUGGUCUAAAUUCCAAGAGGAGUUAGGUCCUAGCAUCUCAGAGCUGAUAACCCUCUCUCUUGAUGAAGAAAAACUGCUUGUCCUCAGUACAAUAACUUGGUUUUGGCAUGGGCAUCAUACCUCCAGAAACCCAGGCAAACUAUUGUCAGGGAAAUUCCUUUUCUCCCUUACAUCCUCCUGACUCAGAACCAAAAAUAUCUAAUACCUCCUCUAAAACUCUGAGAGGAUUAUCCUCCCUGGAUUGUCCUUUAGAUUUAAGAUGGACAGAGAGAUGCACCUCCAGGCUACACCUCAAUACCAUUGGGCUGUAUCUUGGACAUCCAUCUGUUCCCUAAACUAAAGAAUCUUUUAUGAGGGUCAUCCCCUAUGUCUCCCUGCAGGCCCCAGUCAGAUGACCAACCCCCCCCAUUGAAUGCCUGAGGGUUCACCACUCCAGAGGCACCUCCUCACCAUGACACAGCAUCAUGUCCUCACGGUUGUAAAGAGUAUAUAAUCCCCACAAUUGAUUGUGAAGGGAGCAGCCUUCCUUCUUGCUGUUCUACCUGUAUUAUCCUCCGGGCCAUUCUCAACAUUACUUUCUAAAUUAAUAAAUUUCUCUUUUUAUAUUUAUGCUAAGUUUCAGAGUCUUGCAUUCCUUCAAAAGGUAUCCUUCCCAAAUGCCAGGGGUUCACCUCUGUACCCCACAACAGUUUGGACAUGCCUUUCUUGAUAAGAUAAUUCAAACUCAAAUUCUGCAGUAAAAUCCAGGGGACAGAUGACAGAAUCAAUUGCUUUUCUUUUUAAGAGGUAGCAUCUCAAAUAAAAUUUGUGUGAAUUAAAUAUCUGGGGGAACUCCAACCCAGUCCAAUUCCAGAAUGACUCACCAUAGGAAUCUCCGACUCAUGUGCCUGAUGGUGUAUGGCAUGACAGAGGCCAGGAGGCAUGAUAUAUGAAGGUGGUCCGUGAAAGGGUCUGGGGGAGGAGUUUGGACAAGGUUUGAAAAGUAAAUGCAGGAAGCUCACCAGCCUCUUUGGCCUUUUUGCUCCCAGCCCUCUCCAUGAUCCAGUUCUCUCUCUAACUGUCCCUGUUGGCAUUUAUCUUGCUUGCAAUCUUUGGCAAGAGGCAGCAGAGAGGGAACUACGUCAAGCUGAAAUCCAGGACCAGAUCUUACUUUUAAGUUAGAAAGGCUGGAAACUUUAUUUCUCCCCUUCUUUCUCUUUAUUAAUAAAUACUUAUAAAUUUAGUAUAUAAUUUUUGUUUAUAAGUAGCAGUAGUGAGAAUUUAGUAGAAAGGAAAAGGAAAUGGAGAAUAAAAGAGAUAAAAGACAGGUCCAGCAGAAUAAUGCAAUAAUAGAAUAAAAAAAAAAUACUGACCUACCCACUAUAGCCAUGUCUUCCCUAUGAAAUGCCCUUCUAUUUGUGGGCCCUAAAGACACACAUAUGCUUCCUAACGUAUGAUAUCUAAUAGUAUCAUCUGUUCUCAAUGAUGGUGUGUAUAUAUCUGUUGAAGAAUAUAUCCAAUGUUUACUGAAAUAAUAUUCUACUGAUACUUUUAUAUCUAUGUUAUUUCAUUAAAGUAUGUUGCUUUGAGUUAAUUGUGUAUGUGUCUGGCAAGUGAAAGUAAAAAACAUCAGUAAAGGCUUGUGAGCUAUGAUUUGAAGAGAGUGUGGACCCACAGAA